rnacentral:lncRNA from 1 species
CCUUUCUCUUCCUCUGCACGCCCAACUAAAACGAUCCUAAAGCAAGCAGACGAUAGAACAGUUUCAGCACCAUGGACAGAUUCACUUCGGUUGCUGAUAUUAAAAAGAGCAACGUGAACUCAGAAAUGAUACUUAUCAUAUCUACUCAGAAAUGAUACAUAACAUAUAGCCAACAUGUUUAAGAAAACAUUUAUGAAUAUUAUGUUAUUUAAAUAUUAUGCUCCCCAUUACUCCUAAUUAUAAGCAGCUACCUGGUGGUAAUACAUUUUUUUAUUUUUUGUCAGACCAAGAAAUAUUUUACUAGGCAUAGGCAUAAAUAAUAGGCUAGAUAAAUUCGAGUAUUGGUACGUAACGAAACUCACGAAUAAUACAAAAAAUAUGACAGCUGUAUAAAAGCUGUAAAAAUAGCUUUUACAUUUUUUUGUGGAAUUAAGGAUGAUGCCGAGGAACAGUUCGAUUAAAAUUUUUGGCCAUCUUAAGAGCUGUGGAAGAAUACAUUACAAUAAAAUCAUUCAUGUGACCUGUAAUAUAAGAUAAUGGUUUCCCUUUUACUCGACAGGUGAAACAAUUAUUAUUGUCCAGCCUAUACCUAGUCCUGGUCCAGAAAUCUGCAGUGAAUCUAAACCAGAUGCAAAAUGACUUUGGGGCGGUGAUUCAGAAGAACUGCAUCAGGGAAGGGAGGCUCAGAUGUCCCUAUUUUGAUCCAGCCCAGUUCCACUGUCAACACCUCAGAGUCUAUGCAUUUCGCAGCCAGCCAGUCCAUGUACAACACCCAGAAAUGAGCCACCUGCCUGGUCCUGGUCCCGGUCAUUACUGAGGGGUCCUGCUGAUGGACUCUAAGGCCCCUGAUGUAGUGUGCUGACGGCAGGGCAUCACGGCACCAGGACUAAACUGUGCCACUGCGCCAUACCCUGACUCUGACCCACUGGAAUCGAGUGGCAGUUUGCCAAAAGACAAAGAAGCCUCUGCCAAUCUCAUCUGUGUCUCCAUUGGUGUGUAUGUCUGUCUGUUCGUAUAUAACUACACGUUCAUUUCAAAAUAAUAUAGUUAUGAGGCUGGUGCCACUGGGCAGUGCUCCAGCUGGGAAGUGGGUUUUACUUUUGGGGUUUGUUUCUUUUUGGUUCUGGCUAUUUAUUUCAUUUUUUAAAGCUCGUUAGAAGCAUGGACAUGAGUGGAAUGAUCAUGUGAGUGCAUGCAAAGCAAUAACAGCAUGCCACUACUAUACAGCAUAGGAACGUGCAAGAACCCCUCCCACUUAUCUUCAUCCAAAUGCGGAGCCACAACAUGGCACCUUUUUUUUUUUUUUGUCUUCUUUAGAUGGCAGUGUUUUCCGUUCUCAAGUUUGCAGUCAUCUGUUACAUUUGCAUUAUAUUGCAUUUAGUUUAAGAUCAAACUGGUCAAUCGUACGCAAAUGACAUUACAUGGUUGCGUAACGACUUUUUCUGACCAAAGCGAAGGCAGACGCCUCAAACGUCAGCUGACGUGCCGUGUGCAAUGGUCAUAUAUUUCCCUAAAAUCAGAACACUUGAAUAUGCUGGUAAAAGUUAUUUUUUUUUAAGGCACUUUUUUCCACUGCCUUCAUUGGAGGCUUCUAAUGCAAAUCUAAUGGCUUCAGCCCUUACAACUUCACUGCUGCGAAAGCUAAAAUAUCUUUAAUUGUGAAGUUUUCAUUUGUUCAAAGGUGCUGAAAUGGGAUCAACCCUAUUUUUGGUGAACGCUUUGCCAAAUCGAGCAAACCUUUGCUUUCUUUGUGCUCUUAGGACAUAUGAUGACAAAACGCAAAUAUUUUUAAUGAUCUUAUUUAUUUUUAAUAUAUCAUAAUUGAGAUUAAUGUGUAUGACAUGUUCUGAGUGAAAUGAUGCACUGUGUUAACUUGAUUUCAGAAUUUGGAUCUGCAAGAGCCUCAUGGUUUUAGCAAUAAGGAAAUGCCCGUUGUGUUAAAUGUGAAGGACUCAAAUAGUUACUGUUAGAAACACUA